AGGACUUUGAAAAGAGAGUCAAAGAGUGCUUCAAAUUGUCGGGAGGGAAGCGGAUGGGGGCCGGCGAUGUGCCUCGGUCGGAUGUGGAACGGUGUUGACUCGGGGCGUGGACCAGCGUGGAUUGGGGGGGCGGCCAAAGCUCGGGCUUUUGAUACGCCCGUGGAACACCGUCUCCUUGAUUGUGGUAGGUGCCGCACGCCUCUGGCGUGCUUUGGCAUCUACGCGCUCCGGACGCUGUCCUGUGGGCUCCACAUUCAACCCGUCUAGAAACACAA
rnacentral:rRNA from 1 species